rnacentral:rRNA from 1 species
GUUAUAUGGUCAAGUGAAGAAGCGCAUACGGUGGAUGCCUUGGCAGUCAGAGGCGAUGAAAGACGUGGUAGCCUGCGAAAAGCUUCGGGGAGUCGGCAAACAGACUGUGAUCCGGAGAUGUCUGAAUGGGGGAACCCAGCCAUCAUAAGAUGGUUAUCUUACACUGAAUACAUAGGUGUAAGAGGCGAACCAGGGGAACUGAAACAUCUAAGUACCCUGAGGAAAAGAAAUCAACCGAGAUUCCCUUAGUAGUGGCGAGCGAACGGGGACCAGCCCUUAAGUUGUAUUGAGAUUAGCGGAACGCUCUGGAAAGGGCGGCCAUAGUGGGUGAUAGCCCUGUACGCGAAAAUCCCUUUGCAAUGAAAUCGAGUAGGACGGGGCACGAGAAACCUUGUCUGAAUAUGGGGGGGGACCAUCCUCCAAGGCUAAAUACUACUGACUGACCGAUAGUGAACCAGUACCGUGAGGGAAAGGCGAAAAGAACCGCGGAGAGCGGAGUGAAAUAGAUCCUGAAACCGUAUGCGUACAAGCAGUGGGAGCCCACUUUGUUGGGUGACUGCGUACCUUUUUGUAUAAUGGGUCAGCGACUUAUUUUCAGUGGCGAGCUUAACCGAAUAGGGGAGGCGUAGCGAAAGCGAGUCUUAAUAGGGCGUCUAGUCGCUGGGAAUAGACCCGAAACCGGGCGAUCUAUCCAUGGGCAGGUUGAAGGUUGGGUAACACUAACUGGAGGACCGAACCGACUACCGUUGAAAAGUUAGCGGAUGACCUGUGGAUCGGAGUGAAAGGCUAAUCAAGCUCGGAGAUAGCUGGUUCUCCUCGAAAGCUAUUUAGGUAGCGCCUCAUGUAUCACUGUAGGGGGUAGAGCACUGUUUCGGCUAGGGGGUCAUCCCGACUUACCAAACCGAUGCAAACUCCGAAUACCUACAAGUGCCGAGCAUGGGAGACACACGGCGGGUGCUAACGUCCGUCGUGAAAAGGGAAACAACCCAGACCGUCAGCUAAGGUCCCAAAGUCAUGGUUAAGUGGGAAACGAUGUGGGAAGGCUUAGACAGCUAGGAGGUUGGCUUAGAAGCAGCCACCCUUUAAAGAAAGCGUAAUAGCUCACUAGUCGAGUCGGCCUGCGCGGAAGAUGUAACGGGGCUCAAACCAUGCACCGAAGCUACGGGUAUCAUCUUUUGAUGAUGCGGUAGAGGAGCGUUCUGUAAGCCUGUGAAGGUGAGUUGAGAAGCUUGCUGGAGGUAUCAGAAGUGCGAAUGCUGACAUGAGUAACGACAAUGGGUGUGAAAAAACACCCACGCCGAAAGACCAAGGUUUCCUGCGCAACGUUAAUCGACGCAGGGUUAGUCGGUCCCUAAGGCGAGGCUGAAAAGCGUAGUCGAUGGAAAACAGGUUAAUAUUCCUGUACUUCUGGUUAUUGCGAUGGAGGGACGGAGAAGGCUAGGCCAGCCUGGCGUUGGUAGUCCAGGUUUAAGGUGGUAGGCUGAGAUCUUAGGUAAAUCCGGGAUCUUAAGGCCGAGAGCUGAUGACGAGUGUUCUUUUAGAACAUGAAGUGGUUGAUGCCAUGCUUCCAAGAAAAGCUUCUAAGCUUCAGGUAACCAGGAACCGUACCCCAAACCGACACAGGUGGUUGGGUAGAGAAUACCAAGGCGCUUGAGAGAACUCGGGUGAAGGAACUAGGCAAAAUGGCACCGUAACUUCGGGAGAAGGUGCGCCGGUGAGGGUGAAGCAUUUACUGCGUAAGCCCACGCCGGUCGAAGAUACCAGGCCGCUGCGACUGUUUAUUAAAAACACAGCACUCUGCAAACACGAAAGUGGACGUAUAGGGUGUGACGCCUGCCCGGUGCCGGAAGGUUAAUUGAUGGGGUUAGCGCAAGCGAAGCUCUUGAUCGAAGCCCCGGUAAACGGCGGCCGUAACUAUAACGGUCCUAAGGUAGCGAAAUUCCUUGUCGGGUAAGUUCCGACCUGCACGAAUGGCGUAACGAUGGCGGCGCUGUCUCCACCCGAGACUCAGUGAAAUUGAAAUCGCUGUGAAGAUGCAGUGUAUCCGCGGCUAGACGGAAAGACCCCGUGAACCUUUACUAUAGCUUUGCACUGGACUUUGAAUUUGCUUUGUAGGAUAGGUGGGAGGCUUUGAAGCGUGGACGCCAGUCUGCGUGGAGCCAACCUUGAAAUACCACCCUGGCAACUUUGAGGUUCUAACUCAGGUCCGUUAUCCGGAUCGAGGACAGUGUAUGGUGGGUAGUUUGACUGGGGCGGUCUCCUCCUAAAGAGUAACGGAGGAGUACGAAGGUGCGCUCAGACCGGUCGGAAAUCGGUCGUAGAGUAUAAAGGCAAAAGCGCGCUUGACUGCGAGACAGACACGUCGAGCAGGUACGAAAGUAGGUCUUAGUGAUCCGGUGGUUCUGUAUGGAAGGGCCAUCGCUCAACGGAUAAAAGGUACUCCGGGGAUAACAGGCUGAUACCGCCCAAGAGUUCAUAUCGACGGCGGUGUUUGGCACCUCGAUGUCGGCUCAUCACAUCCUGGGGCUGAAGCCGGUCCCAAGGGUAUGGCUGUUCGCCAUUUAAAGUGGUACGCGAGCUGGGUUUAGAACGUCGUGAGACAGUUCGGUCCCUAUCUGCCGUGGACGUUUGAGAUUUGAGAGGGGCUGCUCCUAGUACGAGAGGACCGGAGUGGACGAACCUCUGGUGUUCCGGUUGUCACGCCAGUGGCAUUGCCGGGUAGCUAUGUUCGGAAAAGAUAACCGCUGAAAGCAUCUAAGCGGGAAACUUGCCUCAAGAUGAGAUCUCACUGGAACCUUGAGUUCCCUGAAGGGCCGUCGAAGACUACGACGUUGAUAGGUUGGGUGUGUAAGCGCUGUGAGGCGUUGAGCUAACCAAUACUAAUUGCCCGUGAGGCUUGACCAUAUAACACCCAAGCAAUU